UGCUGCAUGGCUGUCGUCAGCUCGUGCCGUGAGGUGUUGGUUAAGUCCGCAACGAGCGCAACCCCUAUUGUUAGUUGCCAUCAUUCAGUUGGGCACUCUAGCGAGACUGCCGGUAAUAAACCGGAGGAAGUGGGGAUGACGUCAAAUCAUCAUGCCCCUUAUGACCUGGGCUACACACGUGCUACAAUGGUUGGUACAACGAGUUGCGAGUCGGUGACGGCGAGCUAAUCUCUUAAAGCCAAUCUCAGUUCGGAUUGUAGGCUGCAACUCGCCUACAUGAAGUCGGAAUCGCUAGUAAUCGCGGAUCAGCACGCCGCGGUGAAUACGUUCCCGGGCCUU
rnacentral:rRNA from 1 species